GUGGGGAAUCUUGCGCAAUGGGCGAAAGCCUGACGCAGCCAUGCCGCGUGAAUGAUGAAGGUCUUAGGAUUGUAAAAUUCUUUCACCGGGGACGAUAAUGACGGUACCCGGAGAAGAAGCCCCGGCUAACUUCGUGCCAGCAGCCGCGGUAAUACGAAGGGGGCUAGCGUUGUUCGGAUUUACUGGGCGUAAAGCGCACGUAGGCGGUUUGUUAAGUCAGGGGUGAAAUCCCGGAGCUCAACUCCGGAACUGCCUUUGAUACUGGCUGUCUUGAGUUUGGGAGAGGUGAGUGGAACUCCGAGUGUAGAGGUGAAAUUCGUAGAUAUUCGGAAGAACACCAGUGGCGAAGGCGACUCACUGGCCCAAUACUGACGCUGAGGCGCGAAAGCGUGGGGAGCAAACAGGAUUAGAUACCCCUGUAGUCC
rnacentral:rRNA from 1 species